rnacentral:rRNA from 1 species
UGGGGAAUUUUGGACAAUGGACGCAAGUCUGAUCCAGCCAUUCCGCGUGCGGGAAGAAGGCCUUCGGGUUGUAAACCGCUUUUGUCAGGGAAGAAACGAGUUUCUCUAAUACAGAGACUUAAUGACGGUACCUGAAGAAUAAGCACCGGCUAACUACUUGCCAGCAGCCGCGGUAAUACGUAGGGUGCAAGCGUCAAUCUGAAUUACUGUGCGUAAAGAGUGCGCAGGCGGUUAUGCAAAACAGAGGGGAAAGCACCGGGCUCAACCUGGGAACUGCCGUUGUGACUGCAUAGCUAGAGUACGGUAGAGGGGGAUGGAAUUGCGCGUGUAGCAGUGAAAUGCGUAGAUAUGCGGAGGAACACCGAUGGCGAAGGCAAUCCCCUGGAACUGUACUGACGCUCAUGCACGAAAGCGUGGGGAGCAAACA